CUACGGGCUGCUGCAGUCGAGAAAAUUCUGCAAUGUACGCAAGUAUGACAGAGCAAGCCAGAGUGCCAAUCUAUAUUUGAUUGGCUUUUGCCAGAUCUAAAAAUUCUGGCGAAUAAGGACUGGGUAAGACUGGUGCCAGCCGCCGCGGUAAUACCAGCGGUCCAAGUGGCAGCCACUUUUAUUGGGUCUAAAACAUCCGUAGCUUGCUGCGUAAGUCUCGUGUGAAAUCUGGUAUCUUAAGUGUUGGGCGUGCACAAGAUACUGCGCAGCUCGAGACCGGGAGACGUAAGAAGUACGGUUCGGGUAGCGGUUAAAUGCGUUGAUCCUUACUGGACUAACGAUAGCGAAGGCAUCUUACGAGAACGGAUCUGACAGUGAGGGAUGAAGGCUAGGGUCGCAAAACGGAUUAGAUACCCGCGUAGUC
rnacentral:rRNA from 1 species